GACGAACGCUGGCGGCGUGCCUAAUACAUGCAAGUUGAGCGCUGAAGGUUGGUACUUGUACCGACUGGAUGAGCAGCGAACGGGUGAGUAACGCGUGGGGAAUCUGCCUUUGAGCGGGGGACAACAUUUGGAAACGAAUGCUAAUACCGCAUAAAAACUUUAAACACAAGUUUUAAGUUUGAAAGAUGCAAUUGCAUCACUCAAAGAUGAUCCCGCGUUGUAUUAGCUAGUUGGUGAGGUAAAGGCUCACCAAGGCGAUGAUACAUAGCCGACCUGAGAGGGUGAUCGGCCACAUUGGGACUGAGACACGGCCCAAACUCCUACGGGAGGCAGCAGGAGGGAAUCUUCGGCAAUGGACGAAAGGCUGACCGAGCAACGCCGCGCGAGUGAAGAAGGGUUUCGGAUCGGAAAACUCUGUUGGUAGAGAAGAACGUUGGUGGGAGUGGAAAGCUCAUCAAGUGACGGUAACUACCCAGAAAGGGACGGCUAACUACGUG
rnacentral:rRNA from 1 species